UUCCGGUUGAUCCCGCCAGACCUGACUGCUAUCGGAUUGAUACUAAGCCAUGCGAGUCUUUGUAGUAAUACAAGGCAGACGGCUCAGUAACACGUAGUCAACCUACCCUAUGGACGAGAAUAAUCUCGGGAAACUGAGCAUAAUUCUUGAUAGAUCAUAAUGCCUGGAAUGGUUUAUGGUUAAAAUGAUUCGUCGCCAUAGGAUGGGACUGCGGCCUAUCAGCUUGUUGGUGAGGUAAUGGCCCACCAAGGCGAUUACAGGUACGGGCUCUGAGAGGAGAAGCCCGGAGAUGGGUACUGAGACACGGACCCAGGCCCUAUGGGGCGCAGCAGGCGAGAAAACUCUGCAAUGUGCGAAAGCACGACAAGGUUAAUCCGAGUGAUUUCUGCUAAAGAAAUCUUUUGCCAGUCGUAAAACCGCUGGUGAAUAAGGGGUGGGCAAGUUCUGGUGCCAGCAGCCGCGGUAAU
rnacentral:rRNA from 1 species